GCAGCAGUAGCUCAGUGGUAGAGCCCCCUCUUCGCAUGCGCGGAGAUCUGGGUUCGAUUCCCGGCUGCUUCC
rnacentral:tRNA from 1 species